CCCGCCGGGCAGAGCGGGCCGGGCAGGGGGGCGGGAGCGGCCGCCGGCGGGAACCGAGCCGAGAUGAAGAAGCCGGACGGGAAGGUGGUGCUGCUGGGGGACAUGAACGUGGGCAAGACCUCCUUGCUGCACCGCUACAUGGAGCGGCGCUUCCAGGAGACGGUCAGCACCGUCGGCGGCGCCUUCUACCUGAAGCAGUGGGGGCCGUACAACAUCUCUAUAUGGGACACCGCAGGACGGGAGCAGUUCCAUGGCCUUGGGUCUAUGUACUGCAGAGGAGCGGCUGCUGUGAUCCUCACGUACGAUGUGAACAGCCUCCAAAGCCUGACAGAGCUGGAAGAAAGAUUCUUGGCGCUGACGGACAGUGCAAGUGCUGACUGCAUUUUUGCUAUUGUUGGAAAUAAAGUUGACCUCAGUGAUGACUGUACUUUACCACCGGAUGAAAAUAGACCUGAGAGGUCUGGUGCCAGCUGUGGCCCAAAGGUGCGAAAACAAGUCCGUGCAGAGGAUGCGAUUGCACUCUAUAAAAAGAUACUGAAAUACAAAAUGCUAGAUGAGAAGGAUGUUCCAGCAGCUGAGAAAAUGUGUUUUGAGACCAGUGCAAAGACAGGAUACAAGGUGGACUACCUCUUUGAGACUGUGUUUGACAUGGUAGUCCCAAUAAUCGUACGGCAGAAAGCUGAGGGGCCGCCGCAAACCGUAGACAUCACGGACUACAAGCCAGCCAAAAGGACAAAAUCAGGUUGUUGUGCCUGAACCGCCUAUGUGACAUAGAAAAGGCGAAGGAUUUUUCACUCCAGCAAAAUGAGGGAUAAGAACUGCUUGCAGUUGAACAGAAUGGAAGAGUCAAGGAAUAAAUAGACUAAAAUGGUGUAUGCAGAAGAAAAACCCAAAAAAACCCACAAAAGAAACAAAUCUUUUGACUAUUAAAGGCUUCUGGGAAGCUCUGUGUAUAAAAAAAAUGAGAAUAUGAGUGAAAUGAUGGAGUAAGACUUGCCAGUUUCCGUGGGCUCUGAAGACAAAUGAUGUGUUAUUACAAUGGGUAGUGACAAUCAUUUGGACAGAUUUGAAAGAUUAUGAUUUUUAGUGACUUGCCAUUUCAUGUUGCAUGUAAAUGAUCUGUUUGUGUACUCUUGAUAACUUUCAUAUGAUGGUCUUCUUUUCCGAGUCUAACUUUGGAAGACUGAACACACGGUACUUUUUUAUUAAGGAAAAAAGGAAAAUCCAGUUAAGGUUUUCACAGUUGGAAGUCUCGGAAUUGGAGAAUAAUCCAGGCGGAAAGGCGGCCACUUCCCCCAGCUCCCUGCUCAAAGCAGGGCCUACACCAAAGUUGCCCUCAGUUGCUCCAAGGCACUGUUGAGUUGUUAAUACCUCCAAGGAUGGACCUCCCACAAGCUGUCUGGGCAUCUUACUCCUCUGUUUUAUUACCCUCACUAAGAACAAUUUUCCACCAUAUAUUUAAUUUGAAUUUCCCAAAUUAUAAAGUCUGUCUUACUCUGCAUUGCAUGUGAGGAGCACCGCAGAAACAGAAUUAGCUUCUAUACAAUAACUAGCUCCCUGUAUAACGUAUUUUUUUGACAGCAAAUUAUACCAGAGUCAUGCACGGAACUGUUAUCUUUAACAGGUUCUGUGAUAACGAACUGAAUGUUACUUUUCUUCUGUCAAAGACAUUAUAAACAAAAUUAGCAUUUUUUCUGUCCCUUUAAGAGCUGUACAACUGUAUUUUUUUAUACUGUAGAAUUUUUGUUAGGAACUGAAAGAAUCUGCAAUAUAAAAGAAAGCAGCUGGAAAAUAAAGUUCUGAAACAGUUUUGUAAAUGUAGGGGGUGCAAGAGGCAGCAUUAUUACAACUUUGAGGUCUCUGCAGGUUGGAGCUGGAAAGCAGAUAGUAAAAGCUGCUGAUGCUGUUUGAGCCCUGGUGUGGGAGCAGCCCUGCUUGGCAACCUCGGGAUAAGCACCGGAUGAAUGAUAGCAGAGUGCCCUCGCUACACCAAGUCUUGCUGACUUCUCCUGCUGUUUGGGCAGCGUCUGCGCUGACCGAGGAUUGUACCUUACUCAGGGGAAGGAGGUAACGAAUUGAAGCCAAGGAAUUCAAACAGCAUGUACCCUGAGAAAACCGCAAGUGUGCUCUACUUCUUCCACAGUUGCUUGAGAAGCAAAAAUGCGUAGACCAAACACUUCAUUUGCUCCACAAGCUAGCUGGAAAAUGGGAAUUCUUCUCACAGUGUGUACCACAGCGCUGACAGACUUUGUCCUGGCAAAAAGUUCUUGCUAAGGUGACAACUUUGCUCUUAACAAUGCUCAGUGUUUACACGGGGCUUUGCAAAUAUUUAAUUAAUUCUUGGCAUUCUUGUGAAGUAACUAUGAGAUUGGUAUCAGGGCUUUUUAUAGAAGCAAAAGAAAUGUCAAACACGGGGAUGGUAAAAAAUAUGACCUACUCUUUCAAAAUGUGGGGAUUUUUUUCUGUACCUAAUUUUGGAUUUGCCUGUAUCUUAUUUUCUGAAAAAAUUAAGUUUUUGGCAUUUGGCAUACAAAUAGUUCGUGGAUUAAGAUUGACUAUUGUUCUUUUAUGAUGUCUUCUGCUACAGAAAUCUUGUUUCUUUUCCAACACUCUUUCC